UAGGAAUUCAUUGGUUUCUGGAGCACAGACCGGAGUAAAAGAUGGCAAAAGUCCUAAGGUUUUGGUCAUUUCUCUGCCUAUUACUACGUGGCUCCUCUAUUGAUGAUCACCAGGUCAAAUAAUGGCAUCUAUGUAGCAUCUUUCAUUGUCAUUAUUUGUGUGUGGAGCCUGAAAAUAAUUUUGAUGCCUUAAAUUUUUGUUAAGUUUGACACUUAGGUUAUGCAUUAAAACUCGAGAAUUAUGAUGAGUACAGUGGUGUUCGUACUGAAGAAGUCCUAACUAAUGCUCUGGCAAUUAUUUAUGAAUCUAAAAGAACUCAGCAAGAAUGCAUCUUAUUGUGAGAAGAAGAGGGAGACGUAAAUGUUGGGGUUGCACCUUUACAUAUCCUGUUCUCAUGGCUGCUAUAUUCUCUUGUAUCAGUACUUUUCAGAUUGUCAGUUUCCAAGUUAUGACAAGGAGCAUAUUGACGAAGUAAGAACUGAGUGGGUGCGCCAUGUUGUUCAACAAAUUGUAUAAUCGCUAGGUUACGUUGAAUGAACCAACAAACAUACAACUUUAUUAAUUAAUGUAUUUUGCGUAGUUUAAUGUUUAGAAUUUUAUUUUGGAUCUAUGU